UGGGGAAUAUUGCACAAUGGAGGGAACUCUGAUGCAGCAACGCCGCGUGCGGGAUGACGGCCUUCGGGUUGUAAACCGCUUUCAGCCAUGACGAAGCUUUUGUGACGGUAGUAGUAGAAGAAGCACCGGCUAACUACGUGCCAGCAGCCGCGGUGAUACGUAGGGUGCGAGCGUUGUCCGGAAUUAUUGGGCGUAAAGAGCUUGUAGGCGGUUUGUCGCGUCGAUAGUGUAAACACGCAGCUUAACUGUGUGCCUGCUGUCGAUACGGGCUGACUAGAGGAGGGUAGGGGAGAAUGGAAUUCCCGGUGGAGCGGUGGAAUGCGCAGAUAUCGGGAGGAACACCAGUGGCGAAGGCGGUUCUCUGGACCUUUCCUGACGCUGAGAAGCGAAAGCGUGGGUAGCAAACAGG
rnacentral:rRNA from 1 species